rnacentral:rRNA from 1 species
GAUGAACGCUGACAGAAUGCUUAACACAUGCAAGUCAACUUGAAUUUGGGUUUUUAACUUAGGUUUGGGUGGCGGACGGGUGAGUAACGCGUAAAGAACUUGCCUCACAGCUAGGGACAACAUUUAGAAAUGAAUGCUAAUACCUAAUAUUAUGAUAAUAGGGCAUCCUAUAAUUAUGAAAGCUAUAUGCGCUGUGAGAGAGCUUUGCGUCCCAUUAGCUAGUUGGAGAGGUAACGGCUCACCAAGGCGAUGAUGGGUAGCCGGCCUGAGAGGGUGAUCGGCCACAAGGGGACUGAGACACGGCCCUUACUCCUACGGGAGGCAGCAGUGGGGAAUAUUGGACAAUGGACCGAGAGUCCGAUCCAGCAAUUCUGUGUGCACGAUGAAGUUUUUCGGAAUGUAAAGUGCUUUCAGUUGGGAAGAAAGAAAUGACGGUACCAACAGAAGAAGUGACGGCUAAAUACGUGCCAGCAGCCGCGGUAAUACGUAUGUCACGAGCGUUAUCCGGAUUUAUUGGGCGUAAAGCGCGUCUAGGUGGUUAUAUAAGUCUGAUGUGAAAAUGCAGGGCUCAACUCUGUAUUGCGUUGGCAACUGUAUAACUAGAGUACUGGAGAGGUAAGCGGAACUACAAGUGUAGAGGUGAAAUUCGUAGAUAUUUGUAGGAAUGCCGAUGGGGAAGCCAGCUUACUGGACAGAUACUGACGCUGAAGCGCGAAAGCGUGGGUAGCAAACAGG